GGGCCCAUAGCUCAGUUGGUUAGAGCAUCUGACUCAUAAUCAGGCGGUCGUAGGUUCAAGUCCUACUGGGCCCACCA
rnacentral:tRNA from 1 species